AGUUUGAUCCUGGCUCAGAACGAACGCUGGCGGCAUGCCUAACACAUGCAAGUCGAACGAGACCUUCGGGUCUAGUGGCGCACGGGUGCGUAACGCGUGGGAAUCUGCCCUUGGGUUCGGGAUAACAGUUGGAAACGACUGCUAAUACCGGAUGAUGACUUCGGUCCAAAGAUUUAUCGCCCAGGGAUGAGCCCGCGUCGGAUUAGCUAGUUGGUGGGGUAAAAGCUCACCAAGGCGACGAUCCGUAGCUGGUCUGAGAGGAUGAUCAGCCACACUGGGACUGAGACACGGCCCAGACUCCUACGGGAGGCAGCAGUGGGGAAUAUUGGACAAUGGGCGAAAGCCUGAUCCAGCAAUGCCGCGUGAGUGAUGAAGGCCUUAGGGUUGUAAAGCUCUUUUACCCGGGAAGAUAAUGACUGUACCGGGAGAAUAAGCCCCGGCUAACUCCGUGCCAGCAGCCGCGGUAAUACGGAGGGGGCUAGCGUUGUUCGGAAUUACUGGGCGUAAAGCGCACGUAGGCGGCUUUGUAAGUUAGAGGUGAAAGCCCGGGGCUCAACUCCGGAAUUGCCUUUAAGACUGCAUCGCUAGAAUUGUGGAGAGGUGAGUGGAAUUCCGAGUGUAGAGGUGAAAUUCGUAGAUAUUCGGAAGAACACCAGUGGCGAAGGCGACUCACUGGACACGUAUUGACGCUGAGGUGCGAAAGCGUGGGGGAGCAAACAGGAUUAGAUACCCCUGUAGUCCA
rnacentral:rRNA from 1 species